rnacentral:rRNA from 1 species
GAUGAACGCUGGCGGCGUGCUUAACACAUGCAAGUCGAACGGUGAAGCAGGAGCUUGCUCUUGUGGAUCAGUGGCGAACGGGUGAGUAACACGUGAGCAACCUGCCCCUGACUCUGGGAUAAGCGCUGGAAACGGCGUCUAAUACUGGAUAUGUGAUGUGACCGCAUGGUCUGCAUCUGGAAAGAAUUUCGGUUGGGGAUGGGCUCGCGGCCUAUCAGCUUGUUGGUGAGGUAAUGGCUUACCAAGGCGUCGACGGGUAGCCGGCCUGAGAGGGGGGCCGGCCACACUGGGACUGAGACACGGCCCAGACGCCGACGGGAGGCAGCAGUGGGGAAGAUUGCACAAUGGGCGGACGCCUGAUGCAGCAACGCCGCGUGAGGGAUGACGGCCUUCGGGUUGUAAACCUCUUUUAGCAGGGAAGAAGCGAAAGUGACGGUACCUGCAGAAAAAGCACCGGCUAACUACGUGCCAGCCGCCGCCGUAA